rnacentral:ncRNA from 1 species
UUUUAAAUUAAUUUAUAAUUGGUUUAUAUACAAAUUUUUAUGUUUAAUUUAUUUUAAUAAUAGGCUAAAAUUUUUGUAGUAAUAAGUAUUAAAAAUUUUUUAAUUAAGGAUUUAUAAAUUUAUAAGAGUACGAACAAAAAUUGUGCCAGCAGUUGCGGUUAUACAAUUUGUACAAUUUUUUUGUAUCGAUUUUUAAUUAGUAAAAAAUAAUUUUUUUAAGAAUAAAUAUUAGGUGAAAUUUUAUUUAUUUUGAGAUUUAAAUUUAUGUUUAUGAAAUUAAGAUGACUUUGAGGAUAAACUGGGAUUAGAUACCCCAUUAUUCAAGUGGUAAAUGUUUGGUAUGUCGGAUGAUUAAUAGUUAUAAACUAAAAAAUCAAAUAAUUUGGCGGUUUUUUAUUCUGUUUAGGGGAACCUGUUAUGUAAUUGAUAAUCCACGAUUAAUAAAACUUUAAAUCUACUUGUAUAUCAUCGUUAAAAAUUAUUUUUAGAAAAUUAUGAUUGUUAGAUAAUAAUUUAUAAAAAAUCAGAUCAAGGUGCAGUUUUUUAAAGGUUUAAAUGGGUUACAAUAAAUUUAUUUUAGGAAUAAUUUUAGCAUUAAAAUUACGAAUUUGGAUUUGAAAGUAAAUUUAGUUAUUAACUAUUUUGAAUAAGGCUCUAAAAUAUGCACAUAUCGCCCGUCACUUCCAUCUAAAGAUGGAAUAAGUCGUAACAUAGUAGAUUUACCGGAAGGUGAAUCUGGAAAGA